CCUACUCCCGGAUAAUCAAGACCGGCCGAGAUUGAGUGCACAUUCUCGAUCUGGCCCUCGUCAUCCAUCAGCAGAUGGGUCCGAUUUCCAUGAAGAACGCCGGGCCGUCCCCUGGCGAUGGACGCUGCAUUCAUUCCACUUUUGAGCCCACGACCCGCAGCCUCUACGCCAUACAUUUCAACCGUGGGCUCAUCGAGAAAUGG
rnacentral:misc_RNA from 1 species